AUAGCUCAGUGGUAGAGUGCUUGCUUAGCAUGCACAAGGCCCUGAGUUCCAUUCUCAGU
rnacentral:tRNA from 1 species